AUGGCCUUCCCAGGGCUUCCCAGCUGUACCUCCUGGCGAUGACCUGUCAGCGCCUUCUGCCCUUUAUUAAACCAUCAGGGAUGAACUCAGAGCUUGCCAAGAAAGCCAGGCCUCCCUCCCUGACACCCUGAGCGCUGUUAUCUUGUCCUCUCAGUGAAGCCCACACUCCUUUGUCAAACCCUGCAGUUAUCUCCUUCCUGCAAGGCCAGAGAGGGCACCUGCCUGCACUAUGAUCCCUCCAGUACCACUGUUUGUUUAAACCGAAGGCCAAGCCAGGCUGGAGAGGACUUGACCCUUCCGUGAGCCCAAGACAUCUGCUGGGAGGCUCCGGCCUCCUCUCUCAGGGGCAGGGAACCAGGCACCAGCCCUCCCCGUUAUUGCAAGACGGCUUUAUCUGAAGGGUUCUGAUAAGGGGAAUGAUUAGCUAACUGCCUGGUUAAGUGGUUGGGAGUGAGUGGAUGCACAAAGCUGCGUGGUCCCAGCCAAGGAGGAGAUCAGUGUUAUCCCAAGAAAAUGCAGAGCUGGAAGCCCUGGGGGAUAUUAAUAGAAAUUGUGCAAAAUCUGCAGCUCCAGACACCCUGCUGAUUUCUCAGAGUAAUUAGCUGAGCACUAAGUGCUAUUUGCCUCAGAGUCGGAAAUAGCAGCGACACUACUUUCUCUUGGUGCAUUCAUCGAAGCAGGCAUUGCUGACUGGUUUUUGAUGAUUAAAAUUCUUUGUCUUGAAAUGCCCGUGAGUAUUAACCACUCUGCUGCUGAGAGAUGCCCUCGGUAUCCCUGCCAAACGUCUAACUCCGGUCUGUUGGGACCUGCCUUCUCCAUCCAGACAUACUCUGGGAGGCAUUUGUUAUACCAACACCACAGCUUGCUCUGCUCAGCUCUGCUGAAGAUAUCCUUUCCCAGCUGGCAAACCAGCCCAAAAUCAUUUGCAUAAUGAGGACCUGUUGUUGCUAUUUUCUUCCCAAUAUGCACAAAAACAAAACAAGGAAAUAAUACCUGUUUUCAAGGCUUGAUUUUCAAGAAUUCAAUGUCUUGUUAUGGAUUUCCAGUUACAGUUUCAGUUAAUCUACCUCUCACUCUUCCCCAGUCUUCAAGAUGCUUGGCGAAGAAUUCAAGUUUAGGCACCCCUUUUGGUAACCCAGUAACCCAGGCAAUAAUCUCAGCCUCCCUCCGGGGCCCAUGGUGAGAGUGGGUCCUUUUGGGAGGCUCAAGCUGUGAUCUCCACCUUAGGGUCUGGCAAAGUCCAGAGGGGAUGUGGAUGGAGAAACUUUGGAAAAUCGGCAGGAAAGUCACCAGAUGAAGCCCAUCUCCAUACCAUGUUCCAGUCUGCGCUCAAAUUUUCUGAAGUCUGCCGAACCCAUGGCUUGCAGCUUGCAGAUCUCUUAACAUCACUUAGGUUCCUUGCUCCUACUGGGUUCAACUGAGCACCUAAAUAGAAGGUGGGCUCUUUCAUCUGCUGUCCAAAUAAAGGCUUUAACCAAGUCA
rnacentral:lncRNA from 1 species